UACAGAGGUCUCAAGCGUUGUUCGGAUUCAUUGGGCGUAAAGGGUGCGUAGGCGGCGCGGUAAGUCGGGCGUGAAAUCUCGGAGCUUAACUCCGAAACUGCAUUCGAUACUGCGGUGCUUGAGGACUGGAGAGGAGACUGGAAUUCAUGGUGUAGCAGUGAAAUGCGUAGAGAUCAUGAGGAAGACCAGUGGCGAAGGCGGGUCUCUGGACAGUUCCUGACACUGAGGCACGAAGGCCAGGGGAGCAAACGGG
rnacentral:rRNA from 1 species